AUUGAACGCUGGCGGCAUGCCUUACACAUGCAAGUCGAACGGCAGCGCGGGAGCAAUCCUGGCGGCGAGUGGCGAACGGGUGAGUAAUACAUCGGAACGUGCCCAAUCGGGGGGGAUAACGCAGCGAAAGCUGUGCUAAUACCGCAUACGAUCUACGGAUGAAAGCAGGGGAUCGCAAGACCUUGCGCGAAUGGAGCGGCCGAUGGCAGAUUAGGUAGUUGGUGAGGUAAAGGCUCACCAAGCCUUCGAUCUGUAGCUGGUCUGAGAGGACGACCAGCCACAUUGGGACUGAGACACGGCCCAGACUACUACGGGAGGCAGCAGUGGGGAAUUUUGGACAAUGGGCGAAAGCCUGAUCCAGCCAUGCCGCGUGCAGGAUGAAGGCCUUCGGGUUGUAAACUGCUUUUGUACGGAACGAAACGGUCUUUUCUAAUAAAGAAGGCUAAUGACGGUACCGUAAGAAUAAGCACCGGCUAACUACGUG
rnacentral:rRNA from 1 species